UGCUCUUCCCCUCCCCUCUGCCGCAGCCCAGCUCCUAGCGCGUCAGCGUGGGCUUCCCGGAGCGAGUCGCUAGGUAACAGGGCUGGCUCCGCAGACCCGGGCCAGGGAAGCCCGCGCGCGUCGUCAGCAUCUGCGCCGCGGGGCGGGGGACGCACGGACCCUCCCCAAUCCGGGCCUGCAGAACCCCUGGGCUGGCUCGCGGUCCCCUCCCUGGAUGCCUUAAGGGUGCUGUUGAGCUGCCCCUCCCCUGCGGGGACCCCGACGUCGCCGCCCCCUCCUUGUCCCCCGCUGGUGCGCACCACUCUCCCCGCGGCCAAGUGGGCGACCCUCCGCUGCGGUUGCGGUGGCGGCCGAGAUCUUCCCUCCCAGCCCAGGCGCGGGGCAUGAAGAGCCCCCGGGUAUCGCCUGCGGACAACCCAGCCACGCGCACACCUCGCCAGCCGCUGACGGGGACAUGAGCAGCACGAUCGGGCUCCGGUGCUGGGCGACCAGCCUCAGCCGGCAGCGGCCGGUGGGUCCUUGCUGCCUGGGAGAAUGAGGCAGGAACCCGCGGCCACCUCUCUCUCCUUCUUCUUCUCGCCUUCCUCUGGCUCUCGCGCCCCGGGCCCGGGCCAGGCUGUGGCUCUGCUGCGUGCCCUGCGCGCCCCCCACCUGCCUCCGGAUGCUCUUCUCGGUUAGCCUGGCGAGGAAGAUAAAGACAUUUGCAACCAAGAUGGUAAUCACGAGUGGAAAUGAUGAAGACCGGGGAGGCCAAGAGAAAGAGAGCAAAGAAGAGAGCGUGCUAGCCAUGCUGGGCAUCAUUGGGACCAUCCUGAACCUGAUCGUCAUCAUCUUUGUAUACAUAUAUACCACCCUGUGAAUGGCCCCACGCAGCCUUGGCAGCCUCAGGAUGGCCAUAAGACACAGGUCCUGUGUGUCCACAUAUCAGUGACCAGACACUGCAGGGGGCCAGCGGGUUUGAAGACCACACACUGCUUUAUCAAUGCACCUUCGAACUUUCUAAUAGGUCACCAAAUGAACCCAUCCUGCUGUGAGGAGCAGACACUCUGAAGCACAAUGAAUCCAACAAAACUCAUUCAGGCCACAAGGAACUCAGCGUCUCUUACUGGGGACCUGACAGGAUGCUGGAAAAACCAACCUUCAGCACUAGUGGUGAGCAAACCGGUGAGGAAAUGCCUCAUCCUGGAGUGCUGACCACCUCCCAUACUGGAAAGGAGGAUGAGCUGAGCAGACGCAGCUCAGCUGCCCACCUCCUGGGACCAGCUCUAGGGGUGGUCCGCUCACAGGCAUCCCAUUCAUCAGAUGUUUCCAGCUGUUUGAUACAGGAGAUAACUUAUUUUUCAUUUUUCAUUGGCUUGAUGUGUGUAUCUGUUCAUAUCAAGGUAUAUAAAUAUAUAUUUUUAAUAAAUGUGCUCUAUUUUUUAGCAUGAACCAAAUAUUUGGAGAAGCACUUCUGGAUCCAUAGCUUUUCUUGGUUGUAAUCACUUUGCUCCAUCAACCACAGGACAUCUUUUUCUGUAACCUUCCGGUUGUCUCAGCUCAUCUCAACCCCUUUGCCUUCAUGCUCUUCCCUCUCCCCAUCUCUGCCCCUCCACUUCCUCCUCUCAUUCCUC